rnacentral:rRNA from 1 species
CCUACGGGAGGCAGCAGUGGGGAAUAUUGCACAAUGGGGGAAACCCUGAUGCAGCGACGCCGCGUGAGUGAAGAAGUAUUUCGGUACGUAAAGCUCUAUCAGCAGGGAAGAAAAUGACGGUACCUGACUAAGAAGCCCCGGCUAACUACGUGCCAGCAGCCGCGGUAAUACGUAGGGGGCAAGCGUUAUCCGGAUUUACUGGGUGUAAAGGGAGCGUAGACGGCAGCGCAAGUCUGGAGUGAAAUCCCAUGGCUUAACCAUGGAACUGCUUUGGAAACUGUGCAGCUAGAGUGCAGGAGAGGUAAGCGGAAUUCCUAGGGUAGCGGUGAAAUGCGUAGAGAUUAGGAGGAACACCAGUGGCGAAGGCGGCUUACUGGACUGUAACUGACGUUGAGGCUCGAAAGCGUGGGGAGCAAACAGGAUUAGAUACCCGGGUAGUC